UGCGUAGGCGGAAUGAUAAGUCAGUGGUGAAAUCCUACAGCUUAACUGUAGAACUGCCAUUGAUACUGUUGUUCUUGAGUACAUUUGAAGUGGGCGGAAUGUGUCAUGUAGCGGUGAAAUGCAUAGAGAUGACACAGAACACCGAUCGCGAAGGCAGCUCACUAAACUGUAACUGACGCUGAGGCACGAAAGCGUGGGGAUCAAACAGGAUUAGAUACCCUGGUAGUCC
rnacentral:rRNA from 1 species